CCUACGGGUGGCAGCAGUGAGGAAUAUUGGUCAAUGGGCGCAAGCCUGAACCAGCCAAGUCGCGUGAAGGAUGACUGCCCUACGGGUUGUAAACUUCUUUUAUAAAGGAAUAAAGUGAGGCACGUGUCCCUUUUUGUAUGUACUUUAUGAAUAAGGAUCGGCUAACUCCGUGCCAGCAGCCGCGGUAAUACGGAGGAUCCGAGCGUUAUCCGGCUUUAUUGGGGUUAAAGGGAGCGUAGGUGGGUUGUUAAGUUCGGUGUGAAAGUUUGCGGCUCAACCGUAAAAUUGCAAUUGAUACUGGCAGCCUUGAGUACAGUAGAGGUAGGCGGAAUUCGUGGUGUAGCGGUGAAAUGCUUAGAUAUCACGAAGAACUCCGAUUGCGAAGGCAGCUUACUAAACUGCCACUGACAUUGAGGCUCGAAAGUGUGGGUAUCAAACAGGAUUAGAUACCCGAGUAGUC
rnacentral:rRNA from 1 species